GGUCGCAUGGUGUAGUUGGUUAUCACGUCAGCUUAACAAAUCUGAUGAUAUUCUCAGGUUGAUCAGUUUCGCUGAAGGUCCUCAGUUCAAUCCUGAGUGCGAUCA